rnacentral:rRNA from 1 species
UACGUAGGGACCAAGCGUUGUUCGGAUUUACUGGGCGUAAAGGGCGCGUAGGCGGCGUGGUAAGUCACUUGUGAAAUCUCUGAGCUUAACUCAGAACGGCCAAGUGAUACUGCUGUGCUAGAGUGCAGAAGGGGCAAUCGGAAUUCUUGGUGUAGCGGUGAAAUGCGUAGAUAUCAGGAGGAACACCGGUGGCGAAGGCGGGACUCUGGGCCGAUACUGACGCUGAGGAGCGAAAGCGUGGGGAGCAAACAGG